AGGUAUUACAAAAUGUAACAAAUAAACUUUGCAAGCUACUACUAUCCUAAAAUCAUACUGAAAUCUAGCAUUAUUACAUAUGCUAAGUAUUAGCCUUUGAAGCCUUCUGAACCAAUGUGCAUGCAUUUUGCAUCCAUAGCCACUUUUGACUUGUACGAUCAUAUCCAUUGUGAUUGUUUUGGCUUGUUGAUUCCCUUCUUGCUGCUGCAGAAACACUUGAUUUGCCCAGAUGAUAUGUAUGUUUUCCCAUGAUUGUCUGCAUUUCAUGAAUUUACCUGUAGUAGUCCAGUCUUCAUAUUUGAGUCCUGCUAUGUGCUGUGGUCUAUUUCCUUUGCGGCCAAUCUCUAUUUCAGCUUCUUGUGUUUUUGCUGCCUGAAUUCCUUCCUGCGAAGAUUGAGCUCCACCAGAUUAUCAACUUUGGGCAUAUGAAGCUAACUAUUGGAUCAAGACUAAUUGCAAGUGAAGUGUCACUGCAUUCCUCCACUUCUUAGUCCUAGUUUAGGAGUAAUAUUUCUCAGUUAGACUUCUAUGUUGGACAUAUUCACUUUAGUUAUGUUUUUUUUAAUUAAAGGAGCUUUUAUUUCAAUAUAGUUUUAAUAUUAGUUUUAUGAUCAA